rnacentral:rRNA from 1 species
UACGUAGGGUGCGAGCGUUGUCCGGAAUUAUUGGGCGUAAAGGGCUCGUAGGCGGUCUGUCACGUCGGGAGUGAAAACACGGGGCUUAACCCCGUGCCUGCUUCCGAUACGGGCAGACUAGAGGUAUGCAGGGGAGAACGGAAUUCCUGGUGUAGCGGUGAAAUGCGCAGAUAUCAGGAGGAACACCGGUGGCGAAGGCGGUUCUCUGGGCCUGUUCUGACGCUGAGGAGCGAAAGCGUGGGGAGCGAACAGG